UUAAAGUAGUAAGGGCGCAGGGUGGAUGCCUUGGCACUAAGAGCCGAUGAAAGACGUGAUAAGCUGCGAAAAGCUUCGGGGAGGAGCACAUAUCCAAUGAUCCGGAGAUAUCUGAAUGGGGAAACCCGGCAGAGGAAACCUCUGUCAGCGUGCAGUGAAUACAUAGCUGUACGUGGGGAACCCGGGGAACUGAAACAUCUAAGUACCCGGAGGAAGAGAAAGAAAAUUUAUCGAUUUCCAAAGUAGCGGCGAGCGAAAUGGAAAGAGCCCAAACCGUGAUGCGUGCAUCGCGGGGUUCGGACUGCGUUGUGGCAGACGUAAGAUAGGAGAACGGACUGGGAAGUCCGGCCGGAGAGAGUGAAAGCCUCGUAUCCGAAAUCCCAAGUCGCCUAGCAGGAUCCAGAGUAGGACGAGACACGAGAAACCUUGUCUGAACGAGCGGGGACCACCCCGUAAGGCUAAAUACUUCUUAGUGACCGAUAGCGCAUAGUACUGUGAAGGAAAGGUGAAAAGUACCCCGGGAGGGGAGUGAAAGAGAACCUGAAACCCUGUGUCUACAAGCUGUGGGACCUCUUUAUAUGAGGGACUGCGUACUUUUUGUAGAACGGUCCGGCGAGUUGUGCGUACUGGCGAGGUUAAGGACUUAAGGUCUGGAGCCGAAGUGAAAGCAAGCGUUAAUAGCGCGUCAAGUCAGUGAGUGCAGACCCGAAACCGGGUGACCUAUCCAUGUCCAGGUUGAAGCUUCCGUAAGAGGAAGUGGAGGACCGAACCCACAUCCGUUGAAAAGGGUGGGGAUGAGGUGUGGAUAGCGGAGAAAUUCCAAUCGAACCCGGAGAUAGCUGGUUCUCCUCGAAAUAGCUUUAGGGCUAGCCUCAUGAGAGUCUUAUGGAGGUAGAGCACUGAAUUGCCUAGGGGGCGUCAAAGCUUACCAAAGCAUAUCAAACUCCGAAUGCCAUCAAGAUGAUUCAUGGGAGUCAGACCAUACGAGAUAAGUUGGAUGGUCAAAAGGGAAAGAGCCCAGACCUACAGCUAAGGUCCCAAAGUACGUGUUAAGUGGAAAAGGAUGUGGGGAUUCUAAGACAACUAGGACGUUGGCUUAGAAGCAGCCAUUCAUUGAAAGAGUGCGUAAUAGCUCACUAGUCGAGAGUCCCUGCGCCGAAAAUGUCCGGGGCUGAAACACGACACCGAAGCUUAGGAAUGUGUAAACAUUGGUAGAGGAGCAUUGCUGGCGGGAUGAAGCCAUACCGUAAGGAGUGGUGGACUGCCAGGAAGAGAGAAUGCCGGAAUGAGUAGCGAGAUGAAGGUGAGAAUCCUUCAGGCCGAAUAUCUAAGGUUUCCAGAGUAAAGCUGAUCUGCUCUGGGUAAGUCGGGACCUAAGGCGAGGUCGAAAGACGUAGUCGAUGGAUAACAGGUUGAAAUUCCUGUACCGCAUAUAAACAGAACUGUGGGGACACAGACAGGGAAUGGAAUCCGGGAGUGGAAAUCCCGGUGCAAGCGAGGUAGGAGUGCUGUUGGCAAAUCCGCAGCACGAUCUGAAGACGUGACGCGUACCGAACAUAAGUAGGGAAGUCCAGGCCCCUGGCUGUCAAGAAAAGCCGCUAUCGUUUUAUAUGUGCCCGUACCGCAAACCGACACAGGUGGAUGAGGAGAGAAUCCUAAGGCCGACGGGAGAAGUAUUGUUAAGGAACUCGGCAAAAUGACUCCGUAACUUCGGGAGAAGGAGUGCCAUGAGAGUGGCCGCAGAGAAAUGGCCCAAGCAACUGUUUAGCAAAAACACAGGUCUAUGCAAAACCGCAAGGUGAAGUAUAUGGGCUGACGCCUGCCCGGUGCUGGAAGGUUAAGGGGAGAGGUUAGCGCAAGCGAAGCUUUGAACUUAAGCCCCAGUAAACGGCGGCCGUAACUAUAACGGUCCUAAGGUAGCGAAAUUCCUUGUCGGGUAAGUUCC
rnacentral:rRNA from 1 species